rnacentral:rRNA from 1 species
UGGGGAAUAUUGCACAAUGGGGGAAACCCUGAUGCAGCAACGCCGCGUGCGGGAUGACGGCCUUCGGGUUGUAAACCGCUUUCAGCCAUGACGAAGCUUUUGUGACGGUAGUGGCAGAAGAAGCACCGGCUAACUACGUGCCAGCAGCUGCGGUGAUACGUAGGGUGCGAGCGUUGUCCGGAAUUAUUGGGCGUAAAGAGCUUGUAGGCGGUUUGUCGCGUCGAAAGUGUAAACUCAGUGCUUAACGCUGAGCCUGCUUUCGAUACGGGCUGACUAGAGGAAGGUAGGGGAGAAUGGAAUUCCCGGUGGAGCGGUGGAAUGCGCAGAUAUCGGGAGGAACACCAGUGGCGAAGGCGGUUCUCUGGACCUUUCCUGACGCUGAGAAGCGAAAGCGUGGGUAGCAAACAGG